GGAGAGGUAGCGUAGUCUGGCCUAACGCGCGCGCCUGGAAAGCGCGUGUACAGCAAUGUACCGUGGGUUCAAAUCCCACCCUCUCCGCCA
rnacentral:tRNA from 1 species